rnacentral:rRNA from 1 species
ACCUCCUACGGGAGGCAGCAGUGGGGAAUAUUGCACAAUGGGGGAAACCCUGAUGCAGCCAUGCCGCGUGUGUGAAGAAGGCCUUCGGGUUGUAAAGCACUUUCAGUAGGGAGGAAGGUAGUGUAGUUAACACCUGCAUUAUUUGACGUUACCUACAGAAGAAAGCACCGGCCUAAACUCCGUGCCAGCAGCCGCGGGUAAUACGGAGGGUGCGAGCGUUAAUCGGAAUUACUGGGCGUAAAGCGCAUGCAGGCGGCCUGUUAAGUCAGAUGUGAAAGCCCGGGG